GCCGGGUGCAUUGGUGCACGCCUGUAAUCCCAGUAGCUUGGGAGGCUGAGGCAGGAGGAUCUUGAGUUCAAAGCCAGCCUCAG
rnacentral:sRNA from 1 species